CCUCUCGUCUGCUUGCUCAGGUCAUACAACAUCAAUAAACUGGCUGAACAGGCGGUGGAGGAGGUUCUCAACAUCGGAAAGUCUCAGACAGGUCUUGAUAUCCCGCUGAAUCGUGACUUCAUUGAAAAGGUGACUGAUCUGUACAACGAGUCUCUGGUGUUCAGCCCGGACGACAGACGUAUGUUCUUCAGCAUCAGAGAGCCCAUCGUCAACAGAGUGUUCUCCAGCAGCCGGCAGAGAGGCUUCGCCAGCAAGGUGUCGGUGCGCUCGCGCUGCUGGGACGCCUGCAUGGUGGUCGACGGCGGGACUUCCUUUGAGUUCAACGACGGGGCCAUCGCUACCAUCAGUCUGAGUGAAGAGGACCAGCUGAGGACCGUGGACCUGGAGAACUGAGGGGUCCAGAGCUCUGAUGCUCUCUGAUGCUCACUGUUCAAAGGGAAGCUGUUAGCCUCCAUACCUGAGACACAGGUAUCACUGUUACUAUUGUUCCUCAAAUGUUUGCAUCUUUACCAAUCAAUUGUUCCCAAACUAGAUUACCUUUCCUGAUUUCCCCAACACACUUUCCAGGAUAUAAUGACAAUCUACUUAGUUAAGAAUAUGUCGAGCAACAUUUGAUUAUGUUACUAUAAACUGUCUCAGCUGAGGAAGGGAUAAAAGAUCAGGUAUGAUUAUUAAAUAUAAUUCAUAUCGUUCUGUUAAAACAAUUGUUUGGAUUUGUAUUCCAGAUGACAUUUUGUGAUGUGCUGUUGCUUUAUGACUUUGAAAAGAAUUAUGAAAUAUUCUAUAUUUACGUUUUUUUCAACAAAUCCCAGUUAGUCAGACUCUCACUACGUCCUUUUGUCCCCAGCUGUCCCUCAACCCUGAGUCUCUUACUGACGACAAACAUCUUUAGAAAUGGCUCACAAAUUAAAAAAAUGUAAUGUUUGUGUCUCAAACAAGAAUAAUUGGUUUAUUUGUUGGGGACUAUUUUCAGCGGCGGAUUAAUCCACAUUUGCUGCUCUAGUGAGUAGUUAUUGCUGUGUGUGUGUGUGUGAGAGAGUGAGAGAAUGAGAGUGUGUGAGAGAGAGAGAUUAGAUCUAAAUAAAUGACAGUGUAAAGGUAAUGAACACACACACACACGACCUGUUAUUAGAUCCGCUUGUUGGUCUGCACGUGGGAUUUGUUGAUAAAUGUAGAAUAAGUGGACUUUAAAAGGUCGAGUGUUGCUAAGAUAUAAAGGAUGGGAGUGAACUGAGUGGCUUUUUGUCAACAAAAGAUAUUUUUGGAACAAAGCUUAUAUUUUUUUCUAGAUCGUUUGGGCUUUGAGAGCAGGAGAGUUCAGUUCACUAAAAAAUAAACUCCACGAUUAAAAGGGGGCAUUUUUACUCCAUGUUUUCAGCUCAAAGUGUGUCUGGUUCUCACCUCUCUCAAGACCUGAAAUGCAGCUUUUGGAAAUGCUACUGAAGCAGAAUGUGCCUGAGGUAUUUAAACACUCUCUGAUAUGAACAGAAUCAUGUCACAGCUUAGGAAUGAUUUUAAAUAUUUAAAACAAGUCCUGUUCUCGAUUAAACUCAUUGUUGGUGCACCUUUUUCAGGACUACUUUACAAAGCGGAGGGUAAAGGGUUAAUUUGCAGCGUGCCAAAGGCGGAGUCUGUGUGUCACGAAGUGUUUUUUUUAGUCAGAUAAAGUGGUAUUAAAAAUAAACCUGUGUGCUUGUUGAGCCUCA